CAGCCGCCACGGUAAUACGUAGGGUGCGAGCGUUAAUCGGAAUUACUGGGCGUAAAGCGAGCGCAGACGGUUACUUAAGCAGGAUGUGAAAUCCCCGGGCUCAACCUGGGAACUGCGUUCUGAACUGGGUGACUAGAGUGUGUCAGAGGGAGGUAGAAUUCCACGUGUAGCAGUGAAAUGCGUAGAGAUGUGGAGGAAUACCGAUGGCGAAGGCAGCCUCCUGGGAUAACACUGACGUUCAUGCUCGAAAGCGUGGGUAGCAAACAGGAUUAGAUACCCCCGUAGUCCCUGUCUCUUAUAC
rnacentral:rRNA from 1 species